rnacentral:rRNA from 1 species
AUGGACAGAAUGUUAAUUGACCUGGCUGGUCCGCACCCCCCACCUAUUGAGGAGGAGCCAUCUGUGUCUGCCCAAGCCUUCUAUAGGAUGGUUGCUAGUGCCGAUGAACCAGUCCAUGAGAACACAACACACUCACAUCUUUCUGCUAUUGCUCGUUUGCUAGCUUUAAAGUCACAGUACAACAUGUCCAUUGCAAACUAUGAUGCUGUCUUGCAACUUAUCCAUGAACUUCUCCCUGGAGAGUCUAAUAUGGCGAAGGACUUCUACCAUUCCAAGAAAUUAAUCGAGGGCCUAGGUAUGCCAUAUGUGAAAAUUGAUGUGUGUAAGAACAAUUGUAUGAUGUUCUACAAAGAUAACUUGCAUAAAGAAAAGUGUGACUUUUGUGGUAUAUCCCGCUAUGAAGAAGGCCAGAAUAAAGUUCCACGUAAAAUUCUGCAGUACCUCCCCCUUACAGAAAGACUACAAAGGCUAUAUGCACAUGAGGAGACAACAAAAGAUAUGCGAUCACAUAGGCCUUCUACUUCUGGUAACAUGGUUCGUCCAUGUGAUGGGGAAGCAUGGCAACAGUUCGAUAAGGAUUUUCCCUUGUUUUCGGGAGACCCAAGAAACGUGAGAUUAGUUUUUGCAAUGGAUGAUUUCACACCGUUCGUCUAA